rnacentral:rRNA from 1 species
AUUGAACGCUGGCGGCAGGCCUAACACAUGCAAGUCGGACGGUAGCACAGAGGAGCUUGCUCCUUGGGUGACGAGUGGCGGACGGGUGAGUAAUGUCUGGGGAUCUGCCCGAUAGAGGGGGAUAACCACUGGAAACGGUGGCUAAUACCGCAUAGCGUCGCAAGACCAAAGAGGGGGACCUUCGGGCCUCUCACUAUCGGAUGAACCCAGAUGGGGAUUAGCUAGUAGGCGGGGUAAUGGCCCACCUAGGCGACGAUCCCUAGCUGGUCUGAGAGGAAGGCCAGCCACACUGGAACUGAGACACGGUCCAGACUCCCACGGGAGGCAGCAGUGGGGAAUAUUGCACAAUGGGCGCAAGCCUGAUGCAGCCAUGCCGCGUGUAUGAAGAAGGCCUUCGGGUUGUAAAGUACUUUCAGCGGGGAGGAAGGCGAUGCGGUUAAUAACCGCAUCGAUUGACGUUACCCGCAGAAGAAGCACCGGCUAACUCCGUGCCAGCCGCCGCCGUAA